rnacentral:rRNA from 1 species
UGCGUAGGUGGUUUCUUAAGUCAGAGGUGAAAGGCUACGGCUCAACCGUAGUAAGCCUUUGAAACUGGGAGACUUGAGUGCAGGAGAGGAGAGUGGAAUUCCUAGUGUAGCGGUGAAAUGCGUAGAUAUUAGGGGGAACACCAGUUGCGAAGGCGGCUCUCUGGACUGUGACUGACACUGAGGCACGAAAGCGUGGGGAGCAAACA